AGGCCAAUGUCUUUCCUCUGGUUAAGUUGUACUGUCCUGUAGUGUAUAACUUUGGGAUCUUUAUUAGUCGAUUUCCUCUAAGCUACAGAAUGAAUCUGGAUAUACACCAAAUAACUUUUUUGGUCAGAAAGGAGCAUCCCAAAGAAUGAAGCAUGGCAGCUUAUCAUUUAUUCUAACAAACACUUGUGGGUGCAUCUAUUAUGGCCAGACGUAUACUACAAAAUGAUCGAAUCACAGCCCUUAUGGAUCGCCAAAACUCCCCAGUCUAGCCGCCUUUGAUGAUCAAGACCUCUUUAAUCAUGCUUUUAUACGCCGUGUCUCUUGUUCAUAGUGCACAACCAGUUCCAGUGUUUUCUCUUUCUUUUAUCAAUGCUGAAUAUUGAAAAAGGGCAUGCUGCCUGUUUCAACUUAGCGUGACUCCAUGCUUAUGGGUUUCCUCUUCCAGUGGGCCCUGCAAAUUAUGUAGCCAGCCCUGCUCAGACCCAGCUAAGGCAUCAGAGCACCAGAAACCUGCCCAGCGGAGAAUUUCCAGGAGACUGCUGGGCAACAGACAACAAGCCAGGGGUCCUAAUUUCAGGGUUCAUGUUCAUGAGGUCAAAGAACUCUGUGGACUGUAGGAAGCCAAGAGAAUGAAUUCACACAUUUCCGGGAUGAUGUAAAUUUAUCAGCUUAAAACAGUUUUUUCUAUUACUCCCAUAAAUAAACAUAACAGCCAUUGAACGUGCUGUUGCUUACUAGUAUUAUAGAAACAUUAGAGAUAAGGCUCAGUUUGAUUUAAGCAGAAAAGUGAACCUGGUCUCCAUGCUUCUUAAAGUCUUUUGCACCUUCUUGCCACAACCCUGAAGUUGAAUCAUGAUUAAAUUAUUCCUUGAGAUCCUGCCAGUAAACCAGACACCUGCUCAGAUGCAAGUGUUGUUUCUACCUUCUCUAGGAACCUUCUGCCUCAGUUAGCAGCCCUGCCCCUGUGCCCCGCUCCACAUCACUCCCCAUUUCCAGCCUUUCCUUUCCUCCUGGUUCUUUCCUCUUUGUUUCCCAACAGACUGAGCAUCACAGUCCCGAUGCUCAGGCAAUGCUAUCCAGAUUCUCUCCUUCCUUCCUCUCGUGGCCGAUCUCAGAUGCUGCAAAUUUCUCACCUUUGGUUCCUUCCCCCCUCACCCUCAUGCUCUCUGGCUUUCAUCCUCUGUAUUAGAACUGCCAAAUAUCACACCUGUAAUCCCAGCACUUUGGGAGGCCAAGGUGGGUUGAUCACGAGGUCAAAAGAUCAAGACCAUCCUGGCCAACAUGGUGAAACCCCAUCUCUACUAAAAAUACAAAAAUUAGCUGGGCGUGGUGGCGUGCGCCUGUAGUCCCACCUGCUCAGGAGGCUGAGGCAGGAGAAUCACUUGAACCUGGGAGGCAGAGGUUGCAGUAAGCCCAGAUCGUGCCACUGCACUCCAGCCUGGGUGACAGAGCGAGAUUCUGUCUCAAAACAAAACAGAACAAAACAAAACAAAAAAGAACUGCCAAAUAAAGAUCACUCUUCAUGGUUCAGAGUUUCAUCAGCCUGAUUCCCUGGAAAUAGGGUCACCUCAUGACUUCUGGAGGCCUGAGGCACUUUUGCCUUUGGGGACCUUUCUUCUGUUAAAAAAAAUGAAAAUUAUAUUUCAUAACUAUUUGAUAUAAAGAUAAGUAUGAUCAAGUCUAAAUUGUAUUCAUUUUAAAAUAUUAUUUUACAAUACAUUAAAACGUGUGUGUGUGUGUGCAUGUGUGUGUGUGCGCGCAUGCGCGCGUGUGUGUGUGUGCGUGUGUGUGUGUGUGUGUGUGUGUGCUUUUGGACAGGGUCUUGCUCUGUCGCCCAGAUUGAGAUCAUAGCUCACUGCAGCCUCGACCUCUUGGGCUCAGGCAAUCCAUUCACCUUGGCCUCCCAAAGUGCUGGGAUUACAGGCGUGUGCCACCCUGCCCGGCCUCUCAUGGGCUUUUAAAGUAUUGUGGCUCUAGGCACUGUGCCUAUUGUGCCUAAAGGAAGCUAAUGGAGAAGUCAGGACUGCUUUGAAGGGCUUGGUAAAUGGGAGUAAACCUUCCUAAAACCUUUUCUCUCUGGGAAACCAUACUACUUUAAACAAACAAACAAACAAACAAACAAAACAUUGUAUUUCUGGGCGUGGUGGCUCACGCCUGUAAUCCCAGCACUUUGGGAGGCCGAGGCCAGCAGAUCGCCCGAGGUCAGGAGUUUGAGACCAGCCUGGCCAACAUGGUGAAACCCCGUCUCUACUAAAAAAUACAAAAAUUAGCCAGGUGUGGUGGCAGGCGCCUGUAAUCCCAGCUACUUGGCGGGCCGAGGCAGGAGAAUCACUUGAACCCGGGAGGCGGAGGUUGUAGUGAGCCGAGAUCACACCCCUGCACUCCAGCCUGGGUGACAGAGUAACACUCCAUCUCAAAAAAAAAAAAAAAAAUUAUAUUCCCUUUGUUGGAAAAACAAUAUACUUACAAAGAAAAUUUUAAUGAAAAAAGAACCCUCUCAUAAUCCCAUAUCCUAACACAACUCUUCAUUUUCAGUUUUGUGAUUCACUUCCUUGUCCAGAUGCAAAGCUAUUUUCCUCUUCCAGAUGCAAAGCUAUUUUCCUCUUCCAGAUGCAAAGCUAUUUUACACAAUUAACGGCUGUUGUGUUUGCGCAGUUUUGUAUUCUGUUUUUUCCAUUUAACAUAAUUUUCUUGAAAACAUUUUCCAUGUUUCUUUUCUUUUUUUCUUUUUCUUUUUUUUUUCUGAGAUGGAGUCUCGCUCUGUCCUCCAGGCUGGAGUGCAGUGGCGCCAUCUCGGCUCACUGCAAGCUCCGCCUCCCGAGUUCACGCCAUUGUCUUGCCUCAGCCUCACAAGUAGCUGGAGCUACAGGCGCCCGCCACCACGCCUGGCUAAUUUUUUGUAUUUUCAGUAGAGAUGGGGUUUCACCAUGUUAGCCAGGAUGGUCUCGAUUUCCUGACCUCAUGAUCCACCCGCCUCAGCCUCCCAAAGUGCUGGGAUUACCGGCGUGAGCCAUGGCACCCGGCCUUUUUUUUUUUUU